UAAUGGACAGAUUACCCACUAGGAAAAAUCUGCAAUGUAGGAACAUCUUGUUGAAAGAGCAACACUAGUUUUGUUCAUUCUGCUCAAGGGAAGAGGAGGAUUCACAUGUCUGUUUGCUUAUCAAAUUUGGCAAAACUGUUACAAAUGCAUUGGGAUUCAAAUUGCUCAACAUAGGGAUUCCAAAGAACAUUUCUUUAUGCAUAACUGUUUUUGGCUCGGGAGGAAUAGUUAUUGAGUGGAG
rnacentral:lncRNA from 1 species